AUUCGACUCUUGAGUUGCCUUCCGUCCUUCAGUGAGAGUUAUCCUUUCCCUGAGCGGUUUAUCCAACCCACCAAGAUGUCUUACCAACAUCAACAGUGUAAACAGCCCUGCCAACCUCCUCCUCAAUGCCAGAAGACCGGCCCCACACCGGUCUGCCCCCCACAAGUGUGCCCACCCAAACCUUGCCCCCCUCAAGAUUGUCUUCCUGACCCUUGUCCUCCCAGACCCUGCUCGCCUCAAAGUUGUCUUCCCAAGCCUUGCCCACCACAAGAUUGUCGUCCGGACCCUUGUCCUCCCAGACCCUGCUCUCCUCAAAGUUGUCAUCCCAAACCUUGCCCACCACAAGACCAGCAAAGCUGCCAACAACCAAAACGUUGUUGAGAUGCCUUCAACCGGAGGAUGGGCGAAAGAAGGAAGACGCAGUUGGGGCUUUUGUGGACCUUUAAUGCUUGGAUGACCAUCUUUCUAACCAACUUGGUGAACUCAACGCUGGGAUGCGUCUUCUCGGGAACCCCUUGACUCUGUCUUCUCCUCAUGCCAUCUGCUCCUGCCCGCCUGUGGUCCAAACACUGCAAAUGUUUUGGGUCUCUGGGACUGAUGGACAACCUGGUUGGCGCCGAACGCUUGCAUGUCCUCUCCUGACGUCGCUGAGAACUCGAGACGGUAAAUCUGGACGGGCAGCUGGAAGUUCUGGAGAAGUUCUGACUGUGAUGGUUUCCCAACCUACAUUCCAGGAGGCGUUCCGGGCUGUUGCACCCAGUUAUUUUGCUAAAUAGUAUACCUUUGUGUUCUUGAUCUAUCUGUUCCCUUUCAGUGGCUGAGAGCUAUAAUUAAAGCAUGCAUGACUUAGAUGAAA